GAUGAACGCUGGCGGCGUGCCUAAUACAUGCAAGUCGAGCGAACGGACGAGAAGCUUGCUUCUCUGAUGUUAGCGGCGGACGGGUGAGUAACACGUGGAUAACCUACCUAUAUGACUGGGAUAACUUCGGGAAACCGGAGCUAAUACCGGAUAAUAUUUUGAACCGCAUGGUUCAAAAGUGAAAGACGGUCUUGCUGUCACUUAUAGCUGGAUCCGCGCUGCAUUAGCUAGUUGGUAAGGUAACGGCUUACCAAGGCAACGAUGCAUAGCCGACCUGGGAGGGUGAUCGGCCACACGGGAACUGAGACACGGUCCAGACUCCUACGGGAGGCAGCAGUAGGGAAUCUUCCGCAAUGGGCGAAAGCCUGACGGAGCAACGCCGCGUGAGUGAUGAAGGUCUUCGGAUCGUAAAACUCUGUUAUUAGGGAAGAACAGAUGUGGAAGGAACUGUGCACAUCUUGACGGUACCUAAUCAGAAAGCCACGGCUAACUACGUG
rnacentral:rRNA from 1 species